AUGUGGGGCUGCGAUAUGUGGGGCUGUGAUGUGUGGGGCUGAGACGUGGAGGGCAGGGACAGACAGACGGACACGGAUGGGGACAGACGGACGGACACAGAUGGGGACAGAGAGGCACAGAUGGGGACAGACAGACAGACAUGGAGGGGGACAGAGAGGCACAGACAGAUGGGGACAGAUGGACACAGAUGGGGACAGACAGACGGACACGGAUGGGGACAGACGGACACAGACAGAUGGGGACAGACGGACACAGACAGAUGGGGACAGACAGACGGACACAGAUGGGGACAGACAGACGGAUGUGGAUGGGGACAGACAGACAGAUGGGGACGGACAGACGGACAUGGAUGGGGACAGAGAGGCACAGACAGAUGGGGACAGACAGACACAGAGGGGGACAGACAGACACAGAUGGGGACAGACAGACGGACAUGGAUGGGGACAGACGGACAUGGAUGGGGACAGACAGACAGACACAGAUGGGGACAGACAGACGGACGUGGAUGGGGACAGACGGACACAGAUGGGGACAGACAGACGGACACAGAUGGGGACAGACAGACAGACGUGGAUGGGGACAGACAGACAGACACAGAGGGGGACAGACAGACAGACGUGGCUGGGAACAGACAGACAGACACAGAGGGGGACAGACGGACACAGACGGGGACAGACAGACGGACACAGAUGGGGAGAGACAGACACGGAUGGGGACAGACGGACACAGAUGGGGACAGACAGACGGACGUGGAUGGGGACAGAGAGCCACAGAUGGGGACAGACAGACGGACACAGAGGGGGACAGACAGAUGGACACGGAUGGGGACAGACAGACAGACACAGAUGGGGACAGACAGACGGACACGGAUGGGGACAGACAGAUGGACACGGAUGGGGACAGACAGACAGACAUGGAGGGGGACAGACGGACACGGAUGGGGACAGACGGACACAGAUGGGGACAGACAGAUGGACACGGAUGGGGACAGACAGACAGACACGGAUGGGGACAGACGGACACAGACAGAUGGGGACAGAGAGGCACAGACAGAUGGGGACAGACGGACACGGAUGGGGACAGACAGACACGGAUGGGGACAGACAGAUGGACACAGAUGGGGACAGACAGACGGACACAGAUGAGGACAGACAGACGGACACGGAUGGGGACAGACAGACAGACACAGAUGGGGACAGACAGACGGACACAGAUGGGGACAGACAGACACAGAUGGGGACAGACAGACGGACACAGAUGGGGACAGACAGACGGACAUGGAUGGGGACAGACGGACACAGAUGGGGACAGACAGACACGGAUGGGGACAGACAGACACAGACAGAUGGGGACAGACAGACAGACGUGGAUGGGGACAGACAGACAGACACAGAGGGGGACAGACGGACACGGAUGGGGACAGACAGACAGACACAGAUGGGGACAGACAGACGGACACAGAUGGGGACAGACAGACGGACACAGAUGGGGACAGACAGACAGACAUGGAUGGGGACAGACAGACAGACAUGGAGGGGGACAGACAGACAGAUGGGGACAGACAGACACAGACAGAUGGGGACAGACGGACGGACACGGAUGGGGACAGACAGACAGACACAGAGGGGGACAGACAGACACAGAUGGGGACAGACGGACAGAUGGGGCCGGAUGGGGAUAAGGACAGACAGACGGACGUGGAGGGGGACAGACGGACAGACGGGGACAGGAACAGAUGGGGACAGACGGACAGAUGGGGCCAGAUGGGGAUAAGGACAGACAGACAGACAGACCGGGACAGACAGACAGACGUGGAGGGGGACAGACGGACAAACGGGGAGGGGGACAGAUGGGGACAGACGGACAGAUGGCGAUAAGGACAGACAGACGGACGUGGAGGAGGACAGACGGACACAGAUAGGGACAGAUGGACAUAUGGGGCCAGAUGGGGAUAAGGACAGACAGACAGACAACAGACAGACAGACGGACGUGCAGCGGGACAGACGGACAGACGGGGACCGGGACAGAUGGGGACAGACGGACAGACGGCGAUAAGGACAGACAGAUGGACAGGGAUGGGGACAGACAGACAGACGUGGAUGGGGACAGACGGCAUAGGGACAUACGGGGCCAGAUGGGGAUAAGGACAGACGGACGGACACGGAUGGGGACAGACGGACAGACGGGGACAGGGACAGAUGGGGACAGACGGACAGAUGGGGACAGAUGGGGAUAAGGACAGACAGACGGACAUGGAUGGGGACAGACGACAGUGGGGACAGAUGGGGAUAAGGACAGACAGACAGACAUGGAGGGGGACAGACGGACAGACGGGGACAGAUGGGGACAGAUGGGGAUAAGGACAGACAGACAGACAGACCGGGACAGACAGACGGACAUGGAGGGGGACAGACAGACAGACGGGGACAGAUGGGGAUAAGGACAGACGGACGGACGUGGGGAGAAGGGGACACAGAUGGGGACAGACAGACACAGACAGAUGGGGACAGAGAGGCACAGAUGGGGACAGACAGACGGACGUGGAUCGGGACAGACAGACGGACACGGAUGGGGACAGACAGACACAGACAGAUGGGGACAGACGGACGGACGUGGAUGGGGACAGACAGACACAGACAGAUGGGGACAGACGGACGGACGUGGAUGGGGACAGACAGACACAGAUGGGGACAGACAGACAGACACAGAGGGGGACAGACAGACAGAUGGGGACAGACAGACAGACGGACACGGAUGGGGACAGACAGACGGACAUGGAUGGGGACAGACGGACAGACGGGGCCGGAUGGGGAUAAGGACAGACAGACGGACGUGGAGGGGGACAGACGGACAUAUGGGGACAGAUGGGGAUCAGGACAGACAGACGGACACAGAUGGGGACAGCCGGCCAGGGGCAGGGAGGACAGAGGGACAGAUGGGGACAGAGGGACGGGGACGGACAGAGGGACAGAUGGG
ensembl:lncRNA